ACGGAGGAUCCAAGCGUUAUCCGGAAUCAUUGGGUUUAAAGGGUCCGUAGGCGGAUUUAUAAGUCAGUGGUGAAAGUUUGCGGCUCAACCGUAAAAUUGCCAUUGAUACUGUAAGUCUUGAAUAAUAAUGAAGUGGUUAGAAUAAGUAGUGUAGCGGUGAAAUGCAUAGAUAUUACUUAGAAUACCGAUUGCGAAGGCAGAUCACUAAUUAUUUAUUGACGCUGAGGGACGAAAGCGUGGGUAGCGAACAGG
rnacentral:rRNA from 1 species